GACGAACGCUGGCGGCGUGCUUAACACAUGCAAGUCGAACGGAAAGGCCCUGCUUUUGUGGGGUGCUCGAGUGGCGAACGGGUGAGUAACACGUGAGUAACCUGCCCUUGACUUUGGGAUAACUUCAGGAAACUGGGGCUAAUACCGGAUAGGAGCUCCUGCUGCAUGGUGGGGGUUGGAAAGUUUCGGCGGUUGGGGGUGGACUCGCGGCUUAUCAGCUUGUUGGUGGGGUAGUGGCUUACCAAGGCUUUGACGGGUAGCCGGCCUGAGAGGGUGACCGGCCAAAAUGGGAAUGAGGUACCGGCCAGACUCCUACGGGAGGCAGCAGUGGGGAAUAUUGCACAAUGGGCGGAAGCCUGAUGCAGCAACGCCGCGUGCGGGAUGACGGCCUUCGGGUUGUAAACCGCUUUCGCCUGUGACGAAGCGUGAGUGACGGUAAUGGGUAAAGAAGCACCGGCUAACUACGUG
rnacentral:rRNA from 1 species